rnacentral:rRNA from 1 species
UACGAAGGGGGCUAGUGUUGCUCGGAAUCACUGGGCGUAAAGGGUGCGUAGGCGGGUUUUUAAGUCAGGGGUGAAAUCCUGGAGCUCAACUCCAGAACUGCCUUUGAUACUGAAGAUCUUGAGUCCGGGAGAGGUGAGUGGAACUGCGAGUGUAGAGGUGAAAUUCGUAGAUAUUCGCAAGAACACCAGUGGCGAAGGCGGCUCACUGGCCCGGUACUGACGCUGAGGUGCGAAAGCGUGGGGAGCAAACAGG